rnacentral:lncRNA from 1 species
GCUGAGCAACGUGAGAUCAAGAGCCAUAUUAAUUUAAACAGGGGCUGAAAGUGGCAUUUGAGAGAGAAGAUACUUCCUCUCGUAGUGGACACUUGUCUUUUCAGAAGAUUUAUACGACUGAGAGUCAAAACUUUUACCAGAGACUUUCAUAGUCAGUUUGAAUUCUGCAAAAUUUCUCUUUAUCUUCUGGAAUGUAUGCUCUAGACUUGGAGUGGCUCAAGCUCUUCGAUGUGAUCCUAUCAAUGUCAAGAGAAAGAAGCACUGAAGAGUCAUAAUUGUGUCCUGAUUUAUAAAUCGGAGACAGAGGGAGACGAAAACCACACUCCAGAAAGUAGCUUAAUCGGACUCACUACUAAGAUGUUAAAAGUGAAGAGGCUGGAAGAAUUCAACACGUGUUAUAACAGCAACCAGCUGGAGAAAAUGGCCUUUUUUCAGUGCAGGGAAGAGGUGGAGAAAGUGAAGUGUUUUCUGGAAAAAAAUUCUGGGGACCAGGAUUCAAGAUCUGGACAUAAUGAGCUUUCAUGCAGCUGUUGAGAAGUCCAAACAAGUUCAGAAUCCUGAUCUUUUGUGUGUGGCCUAUAUUUUCUCUCUCUAGCAACUUGGGAAACCUUCUAUUUGUCCUUGUAUUGGGAAAAGUUUCUGCCAGAACCAAGAACCACUGUCCGUAAGUGGAGGGAAGUUCAGACUGAAGAAAGAGGCAAAACCACUUUAGAUGGAAUCUUGCUGUGUCUCCAGGCUGGAGUGUAGUGGCGCGAUCUCGGCUCACUGCAACCUCUGCCUCCCGGGUUCAAGCAAUUCUCCUGCCUCAGCCUCCCGAGUAGCUGGGACUACAGGUGCCAGCCAUCACGCCCGGCUAAUUUUUUGUAUUUUUAGUAGAGAUGGGGUUUCACCAUGUUGGCCAGGAUGGUCUCGAUCUCCUGACCUCGUGAUCUACCCGCCUCAGCCUCCCAAAGUGCUGGGAUUAUAGGCGUGAGCCACCGCGCCCAGCCUAGUCUCUGCUUUUUUAAAAAAAAUGUUAGGACAGUGGUCCCUAAACUUGUCUGUGUAUUAGAAUCACCUGGGAAAUCUUUAAAAAUUCUAAGGACCAGGUAAAUUAAAUUAUAAUCUCUGGGAAUAGGACUGAUUUUUGUAUUUUUAGUAGAGACGGGGUUUUGCCAUGUUCACCAGGCUGGUCUCGAACUCCUGACCUCAGGUGAUCCACCCGCCUCAGCCUCCCAAAGUGUUGGGAUUACAGGUGUGAGCCACCACAUCCAGCCCAGACUAAUUUUUCUGAUGACAAAUGCUGCUUGUUGAUGUGAAUUCUGAUAUGGCACACACUUGAGCCUCACUUUGUUAGCUAUUAAUUUGUGUUACUGAAUUUACAGGCCUGGAAUACAAUUUGUGCUUCUUUUUAAAUAAAUUUCAUACUUUUUUUUUAAUGGACUUGUAAU